rnacentral:rRNA from 1 species
UACGUAGGGGGCUAGCGUUGUCCGGAUUUAUUGGGCGUAAAGAGCGUGUAGGCGGCCAGGUAGGUCUGCUGUGAAAACUCGAGGCUCAACCUCGAGACGUCGGCGGAAACCAUCUGGCUAGAGUCCGGAAGAGGAGAGUGGAAUUCCUGGUGUAGCGGUGAAAUGCGUAGAUAUCUGGAGGAACACCAAUGGCGAAGGCAGCUCGCUGGGACGUGACUGACGCUGAGACGCGAAAGCGUGGGGAGCGAACAGG